AGCAGCCGCGGUAAUUCCAGCUCCAAUAGCGUAUAUUAAAGUUGUUGCAGUUAAAAAGCUCGUAGUUGAAUUUCGGGAUCAAUACGUCGGUCGUGCUUUCGGGUACGUACUGGCGUCAUUGGUUUCUCCUUUCUGACGAACCAUGAUGUCAUUUAUUUGGUGUUGUGGGGAUUCAGGACUGUUACUUUGAAAAAAAUUAGAGUGUUUAAAGCAGGCUCACGCUUGAAUACAUUAGCAUGGAAUAAUGAGAUAGGACGUUUGACUCUAUUUUGUUGGUUUCUAGGAUCGACGUAAUGAUUAAUAGGGAUAGUUGGGGGCAUUAGUAUUCAAUUGUCAGAGGUGAAAUUCUUGGAUUUAUUGAAGACUAACUACUGCGAAAGCAUUUGCCAAGGAUGUUUUCAUUAAUUCAAGAACGAAAGUUAGGGGAUCGAAGACGAUCAGAUACCGUCGUAGUCUUAACCAUAAACUAUGCCGACUAGGGAUCGGAUGAUGUUAAUUUUUAAUGA
rnacentral:rRNA from 1 species